CAUCACGGAGGAGGUGAGAGCGCCCAGACGAUAGGGCAUCACGAGGGAGGAGGUGAAGAGCGUCCAGACGAUAGGGCAUCACGAGGGAGGAGGUGGAGAGCGUCCAGACGAUAGGGCAUCACGAGGGAGGAGGUGAAGAGCGUCCAGACGAUAGGGCAUCACGAGGGAGGAGGUGAAGAGCGUCCAGACGAUAGGGCAUCACGAGGGAGGAGGCGGUGAAGAGCGUCCAGACGAUACUAAAACCAAGGCGUCCACGAGAGCGUAGGGAGUGAAGUGACGUCCGAACGAAAGCGCAUCCACGUGCGCGGAUAGAGUCAAGCCCCCUCUGUCCGUAAUUCUCUGCGCUAUAUAUCGCGUGUAAUCAGGAAUGGGCCAACCACCAAUCACUAACGCUAACCACGCAUGCUGAUCUGAUGAUUGACAAAAACAAAUUAGAUGUCCUUAUGACCACAAAUAAAAUACAGAAUCAUGUCAAAACAAAACAAAACAAUGUAGAAACAAAGUAUGAAUGUAGGUUCAUCACAGUGUGUGUGUGUGUGUGUGUGUGUGUGUGUGUGUGUGUGUGUGUGUGUGUGUGUGUGUGUGUGUGUGUGUGUGUGUGUGUGUGUGUGUGUGUGUGUGUGUGUGUGUGUGUGUGUGUGUGUCUGUGUCUGUGUCUGUGUCUGUGUGUGUGUGUGUGUGUGUGUGUGUGUGUGUGUGUGUCUGAUGUGUGUCUGAUGUGUGUACCAUGUAAUGCAUGAGUUGAGAAACAGCUUCAACGUUAUUAAUCUGUGCUAUAACUCAAACCGGUACUAACAGUCUGCGCAAGAAUAGAGCAAGUUAGAGCCACGUCAUUAAGGAGCUGGUAGCUGGUGGUAGCUUCAGGUAUCUGCAGGUAGCUGGUGGUAGCUGGUGGUAGCAGCAGGUAGCUUCAGGUAUCUGCAGGUAGCUGGUGGUAGCAGCAGGUAGCUUCAGGUAUCUGCAGGUAUCUGCAGGUAGCUGAUGGUAGCAGCAAGUAGCUGGUGGUAGCUGAUGGUAGCAGCAGGUAGCUUCAGGUAUCUGCAGGUAGCUUCAGUUAGCUGAUGGUAGCUUCGGGUAGCUGACGGUAGCUGAUGGUAGCAGCAGGUAGCUUCAGGUAUCUGCAGGUAGCUGAUGGUAGCUGAUGGUAGCUGACGGCAGCUUCAGUUAGCUGAUGGUAGCUUCAGGUAGCUGACGGUAGCUUCAGUUAGCUGAUGGUAGCUUCAGGUAGAUGGAGGUAGCUUCAGGUAGAUGGAGGUAGCUUCAGGUAGAUGGAGGUAGCUUCAGGUAGAUGGAGGUAGCUGCAGGGAGCUUCAGGUAGACGGAGGUAGCUUCAGGUAGAUGGAGGUAGCUUCAGGUAGAUGGAGGUAGCUGCAGGGAGCUUCAGGUAGAUGGAUGUAGCUGCAGGUAGAUGGAGGUAGCCUCAGGUAGCUUCAGGUAGACGGAGGUAGCUUCAGGUAGAUGGAGGUAGCUUCAGGUAGCUUCAGGUAGAUGGAGGUAGCUGCAGGUAGAUGGAGGUAGCUUCAGGUAGAUGGAGGUAGCUUCAGGUAGAUGGAGGUAGCUGCAGGGAGCAGCAGGUAGAUGGAGGUAGCUGCAGGGAGCAGCAGGUAGAUGGAGGUAGCUGCAGGGAGAAGCAGUUAGACUGUCUAUGAGUAGACUGUGAGGGAUCGAACCCAGCACCUUAAACUGGGAGUCACACUCCCCUAACCACGAGUAUCCUGCCCCAUUACAACAAAAUAAAUAUCAACUGUAAUAAUUUACAAUGUGGGUACAUUCCUUAACCAUUCAUUAACGUUUGUUAAUGCAGAAAUUAUGGAAAAUGUUCAUGUUCACUGUGUUAAUAUGUUAACUUAAUAUUACAUAUUAUUGAUGUUAAUAGCCUAACCCCAACAUCAGUGCCAUGGUGUGUGUGCAUGUGUAUAAUGUUUGUGUGUGUGUAAUGUUUGUGUGUGUAUAAUGUUUGUGUGUGUAUAAUGUUUGUGUUUGUAUAAUGUUUGUGUGUGUAUAAUGCUUGCAGGUGUAUAAUGUUUGUGUGUGUAUAAUGUGUGUCUUUGAUUUUCUGUGUGUAUAACGUGUGUUUGUGUGUGAGUAAUUUGUAUGUGUUUUUGUUCAUAAUGUGUCUGUGUAUAAUGUGUGUGUAUGAUGUGUUUGUGUGUGGUGUUUGUGUGUGUAUGUGUCCAUGUGUGUGUCCGUGUGUGUGUGUGUUUGAGUGUGUGUGUGGGUGUGGUGUGUUUCUGUGUGUCCUUGUGUGUGUGUGUGUGUGUGUGUGUGUGUGUGUGUGUGUGUGUGUGUGUGUGUGUGUGUGUCCGUGUGUGUGUCUGUGUAUGUGUGUGUUUGUGUCCGUGUGUGUGUGUGUGUCCGUGUGUGUAUUUUUGUGUGUGUGUGUGUGUGUGUGUGUGUGUGUGUGUGUGUGUGUGUCCGUGUGUGUGUGUGUGUGUGUGUGUGUGUGUGUGUGUGUGUGUGUGUGUGU
ensembl:lncRNA